GCGGAAGUGGCUCAGUUGGUAGAGCAUCACCUUGCCAAGGUGAGGGUCGCGGGUUCGAAUCCCGUCUUCCGCUCC
rnacentral:tRNA from 1 species